UACAGAGGUCCCAAGCGUUGUUCGGAUUCACUGGGCGUAAAGGGUGCGCAGGUGGCUGGACAAGUUCGAUGUGAAAUCUCCGGGCUUAACCCGGAAAUGGCAUUGAAUACUCUUCAGCUGGAGGUUUGGAGGGGGGACUGGAAUUCUUGGUGUAGCAGUGAAAUGCGUAGAUAUCAAGAGGAACACCAGUGGCGAAGGCGAGUCCCUGGACAACACCUGACACUGAGGCACGAAAGCUAGGGGAGCAAACAGG
rnacentral:rRNA from 1 species